rfam:Gossypium arboreum cultivar AKA8401 contig_1963_7, whole genome shotgun sequence.
GUGUUUAUAGUCCAACGGUUAGGAUAAUUGCCUUCCAAGCAAUAGACCCGCGUUCGACUCCCGGCAAAUGCA